rnacentral:rRNA from 1 species
GUGGGGAAUAUUGGGCAAUGGGGGAAACCCUGACCCAGCGACGCCGCGUGAGGGAAGAAGGCCUUAGGGUCGUAAACCUCUGUUGUGUGGGAAGAAGAGCGUGACGGUACCACACGAGGAAGUCCCGGCUAACUACGUGCCAGCAGCCGCGGUAAUACGUAGGGGACGAGCGUUGUCCGGAUUUACUGGGCGUAAAGGGCGCGUAGGCGGUCAUUUAAGUCAGCUGUGAAAUGGUUUGGCUUAACCGGAUCAUGCGGUUGAAACUGGAUGACUGGAGUGCUGGAGAGGGAAGUGGAAUUCCCAGUGUAGCGGUGAAAUGCGUAGAUAUUGGGAAGAACACCGGUGGCGAAGGCGACUUGCUGGCCAGCAACUGACGCUGAGGCGCGAAAGCCAGGGGAGCAAACGGGAUUAGAAACCCUUGUAGUCC